rnacentral:rRNA from 1 species
CUAACUACGUGCCAGCAGCCGCGGUAAAACGUAGGUGGCAAGCGUUGUCCGGAAUUACUGGGUGUAAAGGGAGCGCAGGCGGGGAGGCAAGUUGGAAGUGAAAAGCGUGGGCUCAACCCACGACCUGCUUUCAAAACUGUCUCUCUUGAGUAGUGCAGAGGUAAGCGGAAUUCCCGGUGUAGCGGUGGAAUGCGUAGAUAUCGGGAGGAACACCAGUGGCGAAGGCGGCUUACUGGGCACCAACUGACGCUGAGGCUCGAAAGCAUGGGUAGCAAACAGGAUUAGAUACCCUGGUAGUCCAUGCCGUAAACGAUGAUUACUAGGGUGUGGGGAGAUUGACCCUCUCCGUGCCGCAGUUAACACAAUAAGUAAUCCACCUGGGGAGUACGACCGCAAGGUUGAAACUCAAAGGAUUGACGGGGCCGCACAAGCGGUGAGCAUGUGGUUAAUCGAAGCAACGCGAAGAACCUUACCAGGUCUUGACAUCCCGGUGCCCGUCCUAGACGAUUAGGAUUUUCGCUUCGGCACACCGGUGACAGGUGUGCAUGGUUUCG